rnacentral:tRNA from 1 species
CAAAAUAUAGCUUAAGAGAAGUAUUUCAGUUACAAUGAAAGGGAGUCUUGUGUAAUUCAGGAUGUUUUGA